rnacentral:rRNA from 1 species
UACGAAGGGGGCUAGCGUUGCUCGGAAUCACUGGGCGUAAAGCGCACGUAGGCGGAUUGCUAAGUCAGGGGUGAAAUCCUGGAGCUCAACUCCAGAACUGCCUUUGAUACUGGCAAUCUCGAGUCCGGGAGAGGUGAGUGGAACUGCGAGUGUAGAGGUGAAAUUCGUAGAUAUUCGCAAGAACACCAGUGGCGAAGGCGGCUCACUGGCCCGGUACUGACGCUGAGGUGCGAAAGCGUGGGGAGCAAACGGG